rnacentral:ncRNA from 2 species
GGGCGGGACACGCAAUCUUGUUCAGCUGAACAAGGGAAUCAGGUGAGAAUCCUGAGCACGUUUUGAGCCGCCGCCGCGCCCUUUGGAGCGGCCCGGUUCCAAUUCAGUAGCUGUAAGCAUGGAGCGUAUCCUUUUUCUGCGAAAGCAGGUCACUGGCUGCUGUAAUGGCUCGACCGGGAAGGCGAAGGGUGCGCGCCGGCGCGAAAAGCGCCCGAACAUGCAAGUCAGAAGACCUACAAGAAGGCAUCCCCCACG